rnacentral:rRNA from 1 species
CCUACGGGAGGCAGCAGCCAGGAAUCUUGGGCAAUGGGCGAAAGCCUGACCCAGCAACACCGUGUGGGUGACGAAGGCCUUAGGGUCGUAAAGCCCUGUUGAUAGGGACGAAGGGCGAAGGGUUAAUAGCCCCUAGCUUGACGGUACCUUUCGAGGAAGCCCCGGCUAACUACGUGCCAGCAGCCGCGGUAAUACGUAGGGGGCGAGCGUUGUCCGGAAUUAUUGGGCGUAAAGAGCGUGUAGGCGGUUCGGUAAGUCUGCUGUGAAAUCUUGGGGCUCAACCCUGAGCGUGCAGCGGAUACUGCCGGGCUAGAGGGUGGUAGAGGCGAGUGGAAUUCCGAGUGUAGCGGUGAAAUGCGCAGAUAUUCGGAGGAACACCAGUAGCGAAGGCGGCUCGCUGGGCCACACCUGACGCUGAGACGCGAAAGCGUGGGGAGCGAACAGGAUUAGAUACCCUGGUAGUCCACGCCGUAAACGAUGGAUACUGGGUGUGGGGGGAGUCGAAUCCCUCUGUGCCGAAGUUAACGCGUUAAGUAUCCCGCCUGGGGAGUACGGCCGCAAGGCUAAAACUCAAAAGAAUUGACGGGGGCCCGCACAAGCAGCGGAGCAUGUUCUUUAAUUCGAUGCAACGCGAAGAACCUUAC